rnacentral:rRNA from 1 species
CAACAGCUAGAGUUUGAUCCUGGCUCAGGAUGAACGCUGGCGGCAUGCCUAACACAUGCAAGUCGAACGAGGGUAGCAAUACCCGAGUGGCGGACGGGUGAGUAACGCGUGAACAAUCUGCCUGUAUCUGGGGAAUAACACAGAGAAAUUUGUGCUAAUACCGCAUAAGACCACGGUAGGGCAUCCUACAGAGGUAAAAGAUUUAUCGGAUACAGAUGAGUUCGCGUCCCAUUAGGUAGUUGGUGAGGUAACGGCCCACCAAGCCGACGAUGGGUAGCCGACCUGAGAGGGUGAUCGGCCACAUUGGAACUGAGAGACGGUCCAGACUCCUACGGGAGGCAGCAGUGGGGAAUAUUGGGCAAUGGAGGGAACUCUGACCCAGCAAUGCCGCGUGAGUGAAGAAGGUUUUCGGAUUGUAAAACUCUUUAAUCGGGGACGAAGAAAGUGACUGUACCCGAGGAAUAAGCAUCGGCUAACUACGUGCC